rnacentral:rRNA from 1 species
UGCGCAGGCGGGCUUGUAAGUCAGUGGUGAAAUACUGCCGCUUAACGGUAGAACUGCCAUUGAUACUGCGAGUCUUGAGUAUGGUUGAGGUAGGCGGAAUGUGUUGUGUAGCGGUGAGAUGCAUAGAUAUGACACAGAACGCCAAUUGCGAAGGCAGCUUACUAAGCCAUUAUUGACGCUGAGGCACGAAAGCGUGGGGAGCGAACAGGAUUAGAUACCCUGGUAGUCC